rnacentral:rRNA from 1 species
GACGAACGCUGGCGGCGUGCCUAAUACAUGCAAGUCGAACGCAGUGGGGACGGGUGAGUAACACGUGGGUAACCUCCCAUCAGAGGGGAUAACACUUGGAAACAGGUGCUAAACCGAUAUUGAUGGAUGGACCCGCGUUGCAUUAGCUAGUUGGUGAGGUAACGGCGCACCAGGGCCCCGAUGCAUAGCGGGCCUGAGAGGAGGAGCGGCAAAACGGGAAAUGAGACACGUCCCAGAGUCCUACGGGAGGCAGCAGUGGGGAAUCUGCGGCAAUGGGCGAAAGUCGGACCGAGCAACGCCGCGUGAGUGAAGAAGGUUUUAGGGUUGUAAAGCACUGUUAUUGGGGAAGCGGUAUCUGAACAGCAAGCCACGGCUAACUACGUGCCAGCAGCCGCGGGAAUUC